rnacentral:misc_RNA from 1 species
GGGAGUUGUGCGGUAAAGUCAUUGCAUCCAGAAAAGGGAAACUAAAUUUUCAAAUGGAAUUCCUGAAGAAACAAGCAUCAUACCCUCUGAUUUGGAAGUAUGAUGGCACACAAAGAAUUGUUAACACUGCUUUGGAGCACUUGACUGUUGAUCAAAACACGCCGGAGGGCCCGGUAGAGACUGAUAUUCUGUUGACAGGUGGCAUGAAUGGCUCAUUAUGUAUAUUUGAAGUUGGAAAGGUUGGACAACAAUUUAAUCAAGGGGUAAAAUGCUUGCCAGAUCGUGUUUGGACUCUCAAAGACAGAUACAGGGAAGGGUAUUAUGACUCACCAGGACAUGUCUGGAGACCUCCAGGAGCUUUUGUACAUAUGCCAUCGAAUAUAUCUUG